GAAGCUGACCAGACAGUCGCCGCUUCGUCGUCGUCCUCUUCGGGGGAGACGGGCGGAGGGGAGGAAAGUCCGGGCUCCAUAGGGCAGGGUGCCAGGUAACGCCUGGGGGGGGAACCCACGACCAGUGCAACAGAGAGCAAACCGCCGAUGGCCCACGCAAGUGGGAUCAGGUAAGGGUGAAAGGGUGCGGUAAGAGCGCACCGCGCGGCUGGUAACAGUCCGUGGCACGGUAAACUCCACCCGGAGCAAGGCCAAAUAGGGGUUCACAAGGUACGGCCCGUACUGAACCCGGGUAGGCUGCUUGAGCCAGUGAGCGAUUGCUGGCCUAGAUGAAUGACUGUCCACGACAGAACCCGGCUUAUCGGUCAGCUUCACUC
rnacentral:RNase_P_RNA from 1 species